GCUGGGCGUGGUGGCGGGCGCCUGUAAUCCCAGCUACUCAGGAAGCUGAGGCAGGAGAAUCGCUUGAACCCAGGAGGUGAAGGUUGCAGUGAGCCACGAUCGUGCCACUGCACUCCAGCCUGGGUGACAGAGUGAGACUCCGUCUCAA
rnacentral:SRP_RNA from 2 species